UACGUAGGGUGCGAGCGUUGUCCGGAAUUAUUGGGCGUAAAGAGCUCGUAGGCGGCUUGGCAAGUCGGGUGUGAAACCUCCAGGCUUAACCUGGAGACGCCACUCGAUACUGCCAUGGCUAGAGUCCGGUAGGGGACCACGGAAUUCCUGGUGUAGCGGUGAAAUGCGCAGAUAUCAGGAGGAACACCGGUGGCGAAGGCGGGUCUCUGGGCCGAUACUGACGCUGAGGAGCGAAAGCGUGGGGAGCGAACAGG
rnacentral:rRNA from 1 species